ACAACAAAUAUAGUUGACCUAUUGCUUAUAGUUUAAGAAAAACAGACAAAAACACAAAAACUUAGCACUGAGCAAUGAACCUUGAAAAUGAGGUCAAGGUCAAAUAAAACCUGCGUGACUGACAUAUAGAUCAUAAAAUAUUUCCAUACACCAAAUAUAGUUGAACUAUUGCAUAUAGUAUUAGAAAAAAAGACAAAAACUCAAAAACUUAACUUUGACCACUGAACCAUGAAAAUGAGGUCAAGGUCAGAUGACACCUGCCAGCUAGACAUGUACACCUUACAAUCAUUCCAUACACCAAAUAUAGAAGACCUAUUGCAUACAGUAUAAGAAAAACAGACCAAAACACAAAAACUUAACUAUAACCACUGAACCAUGAAAAUGAGGUCAAGGUCAGAUGACACCUGCCAGCUAGACAUGUACACCUUACAAUCAUUCCAUACACCAAAUAUAGAAGACCUAUUGCAUACAGUAUAAGAAAAACAGACCAAAACACAAAAACUUAACUAUAACCACUGAACCAUGAAAAUGAGGUCAAGGUCAGAUGACACCUGCCAGUUGGACAUGUACACCUUACAGUCCUUCCAUACACCGAAUAUACUAGACCUAUUGCUUAUAGUAUCUGAGAUAUGGACUUGACCACCAAAACUUAACCUUGUUCACUGAUCCAUGAAAUGAGGUCGAGGUCAAGUGAAAACUGUCUGACGGGCAUGAGGACCUUGCAAGGUACGCACAUACCAAAUAUAGUUAUCCUAUUACUUAUAAUAAGAGAGAAUUUAACAUUACAAAAAAUCUAAACUUUUUUUUCAAGUAGUCACUGAACCAUGAAAAUGAGGUCAAGGACAUUGGACAUGUGACUGACGGAAACUGCGUAACAUGAGGCAUCCAUAUACAAAGUAUGAAGCAUCCAGGUCUUCCAUCUUCUAAAAUAUAAAGCUUUUAAGAAGUUAGCUAACGCCGCCGCCGCCGCCGGAUCGCUAUCCCUAUGUCGAGCUUUCUGCGACAAAAGUCGCAGGCUCGACAAAAACAGGACCCAAAAUUAAAAAUCUAAAUACACGGUUAGAUUUGGCAUAUCAAAGAACCCCAAUAAUUCAAUUUUUGAUGAAAUCAAACAAAGUUUAAUUUUGGACCCUUUUGACCUCAAUAUGAACCAAUUUGAUAGCGGGGUCCACAAAUAAAAAAUCUAAGUACAUGGUUAGAUUCAGCAUAUCAAAGAACCCAAUAUAUUCAAUUUUUGUUGAAAUCAAACAAAGUUUUAUUUGGGCCCCAAUUUGGACCAACUUGAAAACUGGGCCAAAAAUCAAAAA